GAUCCAGACUUUGAUCCUGGCUCAGGAUGAACGCUAGCGACAGGCUUAACACAUUGCAAGUCGAGGGGCAUCAUGAGGUAGCAAUACCUUGAUGGCGACCGGCGCACGGGUGAGUAACGCGUAUGCAACCUGCCCGAUACCGGGGUAUAGCCCAUGGAAACGUGGAUUAACACCCCAUAGUACUUUUAUCCUGCAUGGGAUGUGAGUUAAAUGUUCAAGGUAUCGGAUGGGCAUGCGUCCUAUUAGUUAGUUGGCGGGGUAACAGCCCACCAAGACGAUGAUAGGUAGGGGUUCUGAGAGGAAGGUCCCCCACAUUGGAACUGAGACACGGUCCAAACUCCUACGGGAGGCAGCAGUGAGGAAUAUUGGUCAAUGGACGUAAGUCUGAACCAGCCAAGUCGCGUGAGGGAAGACUGCCCUAUGGGUUGUAAACCUCUUUUAUAAGGGAAGAAUAAGUUCUACGUGUAGAAUGAUGCCUGUACCUUAUGAAUAAGCAUCGGCUAACUCCGUGCCAGCAGCCGCGGUAAUACGGAGGAUGCGAGCGUUAUCCGGAUUUAUUGGGUUUAAAGGGUGCGUAGGCGGUUUAUUAAGUUAGUGGUUAAAUAUUUGAGCUAAACUCAAUUGUGCCAUUAAUACUGGUAAACUGGAGUACAGACGAGGUAGGCGGAAUAAGUUAAGUAGCGGUGAAAUGCAUAGAUAUAACUUAGAACUCCGAUAGCGAAGGCAGCUUACCAGACUGUAACUGACGCUGAUGCACGAGAGCGUGGGUAGCGAACAGGAUUAGAUACCCUGGUAGUCCACGCCGUAAACGAUGCUCACUGGUUCUGUGCGAUAUAUUGUACGGGAUUAAGCGAAAGUAUUAAGUGAGCCACCUGGGGAGUACGUCGGCAACGAUGCAACUCAAAGGAAUUGACGA
rnacentral:rRNA from 1 species